AGGAUCGCUUCAAAAUGUCCAAUUAAUUAUGUUUGAAGAUCUUCAAGAAUCUUCAAAACAAGCAUAUGAUUUCUUGCUAAAAAAGGCAGUGGGCUAAACGGCAGUUACAGAAACACUGCCAUGUUGAAGGGGAAGGCUUCCCAACUUCAGCACGGUCCACAUCCGGGGCUGCUGGUCUGUACUUGCAGGAUGUGUAGCAGCACCGCUGGCCUCUACCCACCAGAUGCCAGCCCGCCCACUCUCAGUGGUGACCACCAAAAAUGUCUCCAGAGGUUGCCAAAUGUGCCCUGGGGAGCAAACAGGGCUAUAGAGGAUUUAGUCAAAACAAUUUAGUUGACAAUGAUUAAGAACUUCUCUAUACCUGAAUUCUGAAGCAGUUAAGAGCAAAAAAAGGAUCAGAGGAAAGAUCACACAGAGACAAAUACACUCACAUCCACAGAUUUUGGUUGAGUUCACCCAGAGAGAGGCCCCAGCAAGACAGUGGAGGACAGGGAAACACCAUGGCAUUUGUUCCUCCAGCUACGUCUCAGCUGGCUCGUAUUCCUCCACACACAGCCGUUGGGCAGCCUUCCUCUGUGCCAGAGAGACAGUUCUCUGGGUUCUCCUGGCAGAUGUCACCAGAUCAGAGGCUGAUUAACAUUCCAGCACUGACUAAUCAACAGAGACAAACUCAAGGGAUCGCGGAUUUCCCCACGGCGUAGCAUGAUUCCAUAAGGCUUAUGUGGGUGAACAGAAGGAGAACGUUUUUAUAGGCUUUGCCUCAGGACACUCAAACGAAAAUCACAUUUCACUGUAGUAAUUGCAUUUGCAACACAGAAAACAAAAGAAAAGUAUGUGACAGGUUGCACAUGAAGCAAUCUUGCUACCUAUAAUGUUCUUGUCCUCAAGGUAAAUCUAACUAGUCAUGCAAAUUUCUCACUUCUCACUUGGAAACACACACACAC